AACAUAGUUUUAUGCAUUUAUAUAAAAUAUUUUCUGCCCAAUGUUUUUAAAAAAUCAAUGGCCGCAGUACCUUGACUGUGCUAAGGUAGCAUAAUCAAUUGGCUUUUAAUUAAGGUCUAGAAUGAAUGGGAUAAUGAAGUUAAUCUGUCUUAGUUGCUUUUAUUAAAAUUUAUUUAAAAGGUGAAAAUACCUUUUUUAAAAAUAAAGACGAGAAGACCCUUAGAAUUUUUAUUAUUUUUUUUUGUUGGGGCGACAGUUUAAAAUAUAAUCUUAAAUUUAUGUAUAUAUAUAAUGAUUUUUUUAAUAGAAAUUAAAUUACCUUAGGGAUAACAGCAUAAUUAAUUAUUUAGUUUGUGACCUCGAUGUUGGACUAGGAACUAUAUGGCUAACCGUCUAAUUAGAUUUGUUCUGUUCG
rnacentral:rRNA from 1 species